UACAGGGUCUGGUAGAAGUAAGGACUCCUGGAGUGUGUUUGGUAGGGUAAUGAAUAUGGGUGUUAUAAUUUAUAGUUUUAAUUUGAACAUUCACCUAAAAUGUCAUAUGGCGUGUUUGAGUGUGAUAUUGUUAUGUUACAGAAUUACAUGCUUAUUUUGUAAUAAAAAGGGGGCAUUAUUUGUGCCACACCCUGUAUAGUUAAAUUGAAGCUUGAAAGAGAUUACAUGAAAAGAAUCUGGCCCUUGCCUUAACGUUUCCUAAGUUGACUAU